AAAACUAUAGUUAAGUAGAAAUUUGUGGAGUGGUUGAAAAUCGUGUUUUAAUGACUCCAACCUAAGUGUAUGUAAACUUCCAACUUCAACUGUAUGUGUUCUGAUCAGCCUCUUUUGUGUUAUUCAAGCCUUGACGACUCAUUCAACAAGGAGAGCUACCUCAUAGAGGGUGGACCUCACUCUUCUACCUCAUGUAAGACUGGCACAGUCUAAUGGGACUGUGUGAAUGUUCCCCAUAUGAGGGGGAUGCAGUUUUUCCUCCCUCACAGUGCAGAGAGGGAACAUACCUAAGUGGACGGGAUAUGAUCGGAAAACUUUUGAAUCCAACCCAAAAUUUUUCCUCUUCCAAAUGACCAGUUCCAGGAGCUGGUCCUGGGUCUGCUGGUGGACAUCAGUCAGUCAGUGAAGGUGCUGGUAGGAUGGGUGAGAGUUUUGUAACACUGGGAUUCUGCUGAGGGUUCUGGACCUGGAACAGACUUCCAGUUUGAUGUGUGUAGAAUCCUGGAAGACGUGGCCAACCUGGAGAGAGUUCUAGAGACUCCGGAGGUAGCUGCCCAGAUGGUAUGUGGAUCUGCAGAGAAGCAUAGAAUGACAAACUGGCAUCAAUGAAUUUACCUCCACUUAAAGUUGUAGGUGUAACUCCAAUACAUAUUGAAUAAUACAUUUUUUGGUAGUUAAAAAAAAAAAAAAGUUUUUCAGAAACAGUUCCUGAGUAGGAUCGGUGGGAACACGUUGAGGGACAAUGUCACCGAAGUGAUGGAGAGGUGGACACACACUGCCUAAAAUACUGUUGUACUCCUGUGUAAAUCUCUCUUUCUGUGACUGGUAUUUGAUGGGUAACAGUCUUCUCUUACUAGGCUGAUGACCAAUGAACUGAUGAGCAACUUCAACAUGAAAGGAAGGAAAUGGACCAAGAAGAGUUUUCUCACACACUCCCUGAGCAAAAUCUUUAUUGUAGUCUGCAGAAGAGGAUGUCAGACAUCUACCAGAAGCUGUGCCAGGCCCGCCACGUCUGUUGACUCAUCCAGCUGUAAAGCAUAGAAUUCACUGGGUUGUAUGCAAGCAGUAAUUGUUUCAAAUCAUCUCCUGCAAUGUCACUGAUGUGUCGUGCAACGGUGUUGUUUGAUGAAGGAAUUGUCUGUCUAAUUUUUUGGGGCAUUGUCCCAGCCAUAUCAGCGGCAGCAGGAAGACUUAAGUCCUCCACAAUCGUAUGGGGCUUGCCUGUCCUAGCCACUCAGUAGCUCACCAUAUAAGACACUUCUAGCCCCCUUUUAUUAAUGGUAUCUGUUGAUUUUAUACAUGUUUAUUCCUCGAAAGUCGUCCUAAUUGUCGCUCAAAAAACUCCCGUGGCUUAUUUUUCAAAUUGGCAUGUUUCGUUUCUAAAUGUCUACGCAAGAGUGAAGGUUUCCCACGAGAGAGUGACGGUUAAUGUGAUUGGAUGGUCAUUAUUUGACAGUGUUAUUUCGCUGAGCACUAGAUGGUUUAAUUUUAUUUUGGGCAGUGAAACGACGCUAGUCGGGCGAGAGAAAAACAUCACCCAAAUGUAUAGCCCCGUUGGAAAAUCUAAAUGGGACUGUUUGAAAAUGCGAAUCACAUUUUUCUUUGGCGUACCCCGGACGUUUUACGCUAUAUUAUUUCAAGGCUAUAGCGUGCAAAUACAUAUGAUUUAUUUUACCAUUUGCGAGCGUGACACACUAGGCUGGCAGGAAUAUUAAGCGCUCAGCAUUUCUAAACAUUGUUUUAAAUCAUUAUAGUCUAGACAUUGCGAAUAUAGGCUGUGACUUAAAAUGAACUUUUAGAAACGUGAGUGGCCGACGUCUGUGGCUUCAGGCUAGAGAGCAGGCCAGCAGCGGCGAAUACCUUCUCCGCGCUUGCAGAGCCAGUGGUGAUGCUAAACACCCUUCAGGCCAAUCUUGCCAGGCUAAGCAUUAAUACGGAUAUAUAUUUUUUAGGUAGACCUAAAGAUUUUUAGCCAAAAUAACCCUAUCAAAACGGAAAGCUUAUUGAAAGAGGUAACAUGUCAGGCCUAUUGUGUAGAUAAUAGAAUGAAAAUGAACUCUACUUUUAAGAACAUAUUUUUGUUGUUUCUAAAUCAUUUUCUACAAUAACACUAGCAACCCAUCAAGCUCCUUUCCGUUAGCAUGUGCACGUAGGACACCAUCAUGCUUUCGGGGUGCGUGUCUUCAAAUUCCACAAUAAUUAUUUAGUUGUGGACACGACAUCACCGCACUCCCUCUCUUGCUCUUGGUCCUCAUUUUUGUAAGUCACCUUGAUUUUGCACCUGUAUGUUUUGAUCAGUUUCUUUAUGAUAAUAUUUAACGAACUCCAUGACAGUAGCUAAAGCAAGGGGCUAUAGCAGCACACAAGUAGACUUUAAAUGCAUGCUGGGCCCGGGCAUGCCCUGAGCAAGUGAAGUGAAUUGAGCAAUACUGGAGUUAAAUUGGAGCGGACGAGAAGGCGACGAUCCAGCCUUUGGGAAAACUCACUCUCGCUUCAGUCAAAUUGGGCACGCUCUACUCCGCUCAUAUACUCUACGAGUUACACAGCAAAUUAGAAAAUCAUUUUACAUCAGUAGUUCUGCAUGACAUGUUAUGUGAUUUGAAUGAGCUAAGUGGUAGGCUAUUAUGUCUUCAAUGCCUUAUCUGAUUAUCAUUUUAUGUACCAAGUUUAAUUGAGAUUUGUUUUCGAUUGUCUUACAGGGUUUCAAAUGGUAUAUUGCUGGUAACCUUUGCAAACGUAAAAAAAAUGUAAAUGUA